rnacentral:rRNA from 1 species
CGGUGUAUUAGAUAGUUGGUGAGGUAAUGGCUCACCAAGUCAAUGAUGCAUAGCUGUGCUGAGAGGCAGAACAGCCACAAUGGGACUGAGACACGGCCCAUACUUCUACGGAAGGCAGCAGUAGGGAAUUUUCCACAAUGGGCGAAAGCCUGAUGGAGCAAUCCCGCGUGAAUGAUGAAGGUCUUAUAUAGAUUGUAAAAUUCUUUUAUUGGAGACGAAUGGUAGGAAAGGAAAUG